GACGAACGCUGGCGGCGCGCCUAACACAUGCAAGUCGAACGGGGAUGCGGGAGCUUGCUCCUGCAUUCUAGUGGCGGACGGGUGAGUAACACGUGAGCAACCUGCCUGAGGAUGGGGGAUAACGUUUGGAAACAGACGCUAAUACCGCAUGACAUAUCUUGGCGGCAUCGCCGGGAUAUCAAAGGAAGAAAUUCCGUCUUCAGAUGGGCUCGCGCCCGAUUAGGUAGUUGGUGGGGUAAAGGCCUACCAAGCCGACGAUCGGUAGCCGUACUGAGAGGUAGAACGGCCACAUUGGGACUGAGACACGGCCCAGACUCCUACGGGAGGCAGCAGUGGGGAAUAUUGCACAAUGGGGGGAACCCUGAUGCAGCGACGCCGCGUGAGUGAAGACGGCCUUCGGGUUGUAAAGCUCUGUUGCGGGGGACGAUAAUGACGGUACCCCGUGAGGAAGCCACGGCUAACUACGUGCCAGCAGCCGCGGUAAUACGUAGGGGGCAAGCGUUGUCCGGAAUGACUGGGCGUAAAGGGAGCGUAGGCGGUUUGUUAAGUUGCAUGUGAAAUCCCCGGGCUUAACCCGGGACCUGCAUGCAAAACUGACGGACUUGGAGUUUGGGAGAGGAAAGCGGAAUUACUAGUGUAGCGGUGGAAUGCGUUGAUAUUAGUAGGAACACCGGCGGCGAAGGCGGCUUUCUGGACCAUAACUGACGCUGAGGCUCGAAAGCGUGGGUAGCAAACAGGAUUAGAUACCCUGGUAGUCCACGCCGUAAACGAUGGAUACUAGACGCGGGGAGUAUCGACUCUCUCCGUGUCGUAAGCAAACGCGUUAAGUAUCCCGCCUGGGGAGUACGGCCGCAAGGUUGAAACUCAAAUGAAUUGACGG
rnacentral:rRNA from 1 species